rnacentral:lncRNA from 1 species
GUACAAGGUGACAGUAGUGUUGCCCAAACUGUCAUGUGAUACAAGGUGACAGGAGUGUUGCCCAAAAUGUCAUGUGAUACAAUAAGGUUGCCUAUUAUCAGCUUAGCUCUAAAGACCUGAGCAUAACCAAGAUAUUUAUAUACAUUAUAGUAAAUUUCACCUUUGCAUCUGCUUUAUAGUUUAUUUUCCAACAAGUAAUUUUUUUUAGUUUUCUCUGGAUCCAACUGAACAAAGACUUUAUAUGAUGACAGAAGUUGAUG